rnacentral:ncRNA from 2 species
GGCUUAUCGAGAAAGACCGAGGGAAGGGCCCUAUGACGUCUUAGCAACCUGUCGACAAGGUGCUAACUCCCGUUCCGGAUUAGCCGGAAAGAGAUGAGCG